GAUGAACGCUAGCGGCAGGCUUAAUACAUGCAAGUCGAGGGGCAGCAUAAGUAGCAAUACUUGAUGGCGACCGGCAAACGGGUGCGGAACACGUACGCAACCUUCCUUUAAGUGGGGAAUAGCCCGGGGAAACCCGGAUUAAUACCCCGUAAUAUUAUGAUGUGGCAUCACAUUAUAAUUAUAGAUUCAUCGCUUAAAGAUGGGCGUGCGCCUGAUUAGGUAGUUGGCGGAGUAAUAGCCCACCAAGCCUGCGAUCAGUAACU
rnacentral:rRNA from 1 species